GUGCUAUGAUGAAAAACAUUUUUAUUGAAUUGUUUAAUGAUAAAGUAUUUAACGAGCUUUUUAACCCUGAGCACU